GAACUGUCUGCUAAGACAGAGCAAUUGUCUCCCUUGACCUUCGGAAAUGGUCUUGUGAAACAGCAUGCCGGUUGAGGUACCUAAACAAAGGGUACUGAAGUACUCUCAAGCUCUGGUUGGAUGCCCAGGGCAGGCAGCAGCAUAUGGGAAAUGUGUUGCAUCGAAGAGUACAGUUAGAAAGGGAGAUUGCGAAAAGGAAUUUCUGUUACUCAAAGAAUGCAUGCAGGCUGGUAUGAAGAAACUGAAGUAGAAAAGAACUUAGCAGACAAUACUUGGAUUUUUCUUAUGAAUUGUUAAAGCUUGUGAACAUUAGUAUGUUGAACCCCUGUGAGGAACAUUGAUAGUGUAUGACAGUGUUUUACUGCUAAUUUGGUACAGAUGUAUUCAUUAACAUUAUAUAAUUUGCAAAUUGAGUAUUAAAAUGUAAAAGAAAAUUC